CAAUAGCGUAUAUUAAAGUUGCUGCAGUUAAAAAGCUCGUAGUUGGAUUUCUGCUGAGGACGAUCGGUCCGCCCACUGGGUGAGUAUCUGGCUCGGCCUUGGUAUCUUCUUGGAGAACGUUGCUGCACUUGACUGUGUGGCGCGGUAUCCAGGACUUUUACUUUGAGGAAAUUAGAGUGUUUCAAGCAGGCGCACGCCUUGAAUACAUUAGCAUGGAAUAAUGAGAUAGGACCUUGGUUCUAUUUUGUUGGUUUCUAGAGCUGAGGUAAUGAUUAAUAGGGAUAGUUGGGGGCAUUCGUAUUUAACUGUCAGAGGUGCAAUUCUUGGAUUUGUUAAAGACGGACUACUGCGAAAGCAUUUGCCAAGGAUGUUUUCAUUGA
rnacentral:rRNA from 1 species